UUGGUAACGGCCACAGGCUUGUAAUAAUAACCCUAUGGCUUCUUUUCUUUGUAAAGAAUCUAGAGUUUCAUGGUGGGGGUUUUGUUGUUGUAAAAGUGUUAAAGCUUGAGGAAGGCUCUGUUUCGAUUGGCAAAGACUGGUUAAUUGUUGGAGGAGAGGGAGAUGGUACUUAGUUGAAGUGUUGGUUUGAGGGAGUGAGGUUGUUUGAGAAAUGGAUGAGUUCAGACGUUGAUAGGUUGUUCUUAUAGUGAUGAGUGGCGACUGGCGGUGGUGGGAAGGUGAUGGCGGGUGUGCCACCAGAG
rnacentral:lncRNA from 1 species